UACAGAGGGGGCAAGCGUUGUUCGGAAUUACUGGGCGUAAAGGGCGCGUAGGCGGCCUUCUAAGUCGAACGUGAAAUCCCCGGGCUCAACCCGGGAACUGCGUCCGAUACCGGAAGGCUUGAAUCCGGGAGAGGGAUGCGGAAUUCCAGGUGUAGCGGUGAAAUGCGUAGAUAUCUGGAGGAACACCGGUGGCGAAGGCGGCAUCCUGGACCGGUAGUUGACGCUGAGGCGCGGAAAGCCAGG
rnacentral:rRNA from 1 species